GCUCCAUAGCUUAGUGAUAGAAUAUCUGCUUUGCAUGUAGAAGGUCCCAGGUUCAAUCCCCAGCAUCACCA